rnacentral:snRNA from 1 species
UGUCGCACCACGAGGCGC